rnacentral:tRNA from 1 species
UCUAAUAUGGCAGAUUAGUGCAAUGGAUUUAAGCUCCAUAUAUAAAGAUCAUUCUUUUGUUAGAA